rnacentral:rRNA from 1 species
CCAGACUCCUACGGGAGGCAGCAGUGGGGAAUAUUGCACAAUGGGGGAAACCCUGAUGCAGCAACGCCGCGUGAGUGAGGAAGUAUUUCGGUAUGUAAAGCUCUAUCAGCAGGGAAUAGAAAAGAAGGUACCUGAAAAAGAAGCCCCGGCUAACUACGUGCCAGCAGCCGCGGUAAUACGUAGGUGGCAAGCGUUAUCCGGAUUUACUGGGUGUAAAGGGCGUGUAGGCGGGGACGCAAGCCAGAUGUGAAAACCACGGGCUCAACCUGUGGCCUGCAUUUGAAACUGUGUUUCUUGAGUACUGGAGAGGCAGACGGAAUUCCUAGUGUAGCGGUGAAAUGCGUAGAUAUUAGGAGGAACACCAGUGGCGAAGGCGGUCUGCUGGACAGCAACUGACGCUGAGGCGCGAAAGCGUGGGGAGCAAACAGGAUUAGAUACCCGUGUA